AUUGAACGCUGGCGGCAGGCCUAACACAUGCAAGUCGAACGAGUGGCGGACGGGUGAGUAAUGUCUGGGAAACUGCCUGAUGGAGGGGGAUAACUACUGGAAACGGUAGCUAAUACCGCAUACCAUCAGAUGUGCCCAGAUGGGAUUAGCUAGUUGGUGGGGGAAAGGCGCACAAAGGCGACGAGCCCGAGCGGGUCUGAGAGGAUGACGAGCCACACUGGAACUGAGACACGGUCCAGACUCCUACGGUAGGCAGCAGUGGGGAAUAUUGCACAAUGGGCGCGAGCCUGAUGCAGCCAUGCCGCGUGUAUGAAGAAGGCCUUCGGGGUGUAAAGUACUUUCAGCGGGGAGGCGUUACCCGCAGAAGAAGCACCGGCUAACUCCGUGCCAGCAGCCGCGGUAAUUC
rnacentral:rRNA from 1 species